UUGGCCUCGCCCGGCCCCUCGGCGUGAAACGGUUUGCUCCGGGAAAGCCGGCAACUAGUAGGAGCGUGCAGAGCUACCUGGACGGAAGGAGCGGGCAGGAAGGUCAGAAGUGAUGGUGCAGCCAUAAAGAUGGACAAUCUUCAAGCUAAAAAAAAAGUGAAAAGAAUGAGCCUAGAUUCUAAGCAUGACCAAGUGGAGCUUUGCAUUAACAGCCAGAUAGUCACAAUAUCUGCCACUUCCCUUCAAUAUUGAAGAGUCACGAAGCUAAAUGAGAGAAUAGUCUCCUGCGCUGAGGACAGUUAUGUUAAAAAUGAAAGAAGAGUGAAAGCCAUCAUCAAGCCUGGAGAACAAUAUAGACACCCACCUGCUGAAUGAAGUUAACUUCAACUUGACCCAUUCAGGGUUCUGAAAACUGACGAGGGGUACACCUUGCCUCUCACUCCUCAAGUUUAUUUUUCAAAUC